rnacentral:rRNA from 1 species
AAAACAUAGCCUGUAGGAAUAAUUAUAGGUGCAUUCUGCCCAAUGUGGUUUAUAAAUGGCCGCAGUACUUUGACUGUGCUAAGGUAGCAAAAUAAUUUGACUCUUAAUUGGAGCCCUGUAUGAAAGGGAUUAUGUUAGAUAGUUGUCUCUUUUGAAGAUUAUAAAAUUUACUUAUUUGGUGAAAAUUCCAAUAGUAUAAUAUUAGACGAGAAGACCCUUAGAAUUUUAAGAAAUGUGUAAAAUAUUACUCGUGCUUUUUGUUGGGGCGACAGAGUAUACAUAUAAAAAACAACUUACUUUCACUAUCCACAUACCUAUAAAUUUAAUUAAGAAAAUAAUUACCUAAGGGAUAACAGCAUUAUAAUUUCAUUUUUGUUUGUGACCUCGAUGUUGGAUUAGGGACUGUUGCAGUUAGAAAUUGCAAUAGAAGCUUCUGUUCGAAGUUCUUUUACCUACGUGAUCU